UAGCAAUAACGGAUGUAAAAGUAACAAAGGCUAAUGGAAAUUACUUCCAUUAAAGGGGUUAUCCACCAUAAGGGGCGUGGAAAAGGGGCAAAACCAUUGCAGAAGAAGAAAAAAAACAGGAAUGCCUGCAGCACUGACAUCUUGUCCACAACAGUGAACAAACAUGGCCGCAGGUGUGGACGACAGUCAAAAGCAGCCAGAAAAACUCAACUUCCUUCACAGAAAAGAGGAGUCAGUCCGUUUCGGCAGACAGAUAAGGCUUUGUAACAUUCCUGUCCCUCAGGAGAACCAAUGAAGUGAGCUGGAGCUCCCCCAUACUGCACUUGUCCUUCUCUGGCUGUGAGAGAAGAAAUAGGUUGUAAAAUUUGAAGGUGCUUUCAAGAAAGAAAGUUCUUCUGGAUGUCUGAUUCCUGGUAGAAUGGAAAAUGAAUGUUGUGCUCCUUCCAACCCAAAUAAUUUGUUAUGUAUCUGUUAUAAUGGACACUUACCCAGUAUCUUACAGACCUCA